rnacentral:rRNA from 1 species
GACGAACGCUGGCGGCGUGCCUAAUACAUGCAAGUCGAACGCAGUGGGGACGGGUGAGUCACACGUGGGUAACCUCCCCAUCAGAGGGGAUAACACUUGGCCACAGGUGCUAAACCGAUAUUGAUGGAUGGGCCCGCGGUGCAUUAGCUAGUUGGUGAGGUAACGGCUCACCAAGGACAUGAUGCAUAACCGGCCUGAGAGGGUGAUCGGCCACACUGGGACUGAGACACGGCCCAGACUCCUACGGGAGGCAGCAGUAGGGAAUCUUCGGCAAUGGACGAAAGUCUGACCGAGCAACGCCGCGUGAGUGAAGAAGGUUUUCGGAUCGUAAAACUCUGUUGUUAGAGAAGCGGUAUCUAACCAGAAAGCAACGGCUAACUACGUGCCAGCAGCCGCGGUAAUUC